ensembl:lncRNA
UGCAAAGGGGCACCCUAUGAAAAUGGAGAUGUAAAGGCAGGGGAAGAGAAAUGAUGCAAUUUCUUUUCCAGCUAAGGAGAAGGAUAGCAGAAAUGAACGAGAUCUGGGAGGAAAUUUAUAUUAGGGGAUAAACAAAUGAGUUUUGUGCCCGCCUCUUUAAGUCUCUUCAAUGCCGUGUUCAUUUCUCUUUUUUGAUUACCAGGUAGUGCUGUCCUCAGUCUCUUGGGGCAUACUUCUUUCCGGUUCUGGCACAAACUACCCCUCAGGGCUUAAAGACAUGCAGAUGACAGAUGAUCAAGGAUGGGAAUGUUCCCAGUUGAAAAUCCUCCUCUCCCCAUACAGUCCUGGAAACACAGACGUUCUUAUCCACCGUAUGUGGCCAGUGUGAUAUAAAUGGAAAUCUGCUGUAUGGGGCUUCUGGAAAAUUAUUGUCCUGAUGAAAGGGGUCACACUUAGCUGACGAGUGGCUUUUGCCCUCACUCCUCUCCCUUCUACUGGAAACUUGCGCAGAGCGAUGUCUUCAGCCUGCUCAGAACAGUGGAGUAGUACUUGGGAGGAUCUUGAUUCUUUGAGAACAUCUCAAGGAUCUGCACCAGCCUGAGUCUGCUCACCUUCAUAAUUCUCGUUAUGUCAGAAAAAGAAAACCUCUAUUUACUUACCUUACUGUGUGUGAGUUGCUGUUACGUUCAGAAGGACACAGUCCUAAUGGGUAUGGUCCUUUCCCUAUGUUAAGGCUGCUUACACAGAAGGUCAGGGAAGCCUGGAGUGCUGCAGUCCAUGGAGUCGCAAAGAGUCAGACAUGACUGAGUGACUGAACAGCAGCAGAGAAGGUCAGUCUAAGCAAAUGAAGUCAAUCCACAGAAGGAAGAGUCAAGAGAUCAAGAGCAAGGCCAGAUCUUCAAGUCCCUCAUGUCCACAAUUUCUCUGCAGCUUGGGGCUAUGUUAGAUGAACCAGUGGAAUCCUAAUCUGCCAAGUUUCUUAAGGUUUGGUUUCUUUCUGUCACACAAGUAACAGAAUUUCUGGAGAUAUGGAAAUAAAGACAAACACUCUCUCCA